rnacentral:rRNA from 1 species
AGUGAACGCUGGCGGUAGGCCUAACACAUGCAAGUCGAACGGCAGCACAGUAAGAGCUUGCUCUUACGGGUGGCGAGUGGCGGACGGGUGAGGAAUACAUCGGAAUCUACUUUUCGUGGGGGAUAACGUAGGGAAACUUACGCUAAUACCGCAUACUACCUACGGGUGAAAUCCGGGGAUCUUCGGACCUUGCGCGAUUGAAUGAGCCGAUGUCGGAUUAGCUAUUUGGAGGGGUAAAGGCCCACCAAGGCGACGAUCCGUAGCCGUUCCGAGAGGCUGAUGAGCAAAACUGAACCUGAGAAACGGCCCGAAUCCGUAGGGGGGGAAGAGGAGGGAAAUAUCGGAAAAUGGGCGAAAGCUGGAUCAGGACAGACGGGGUGGGUAAGGAAGGCCUCCGGGUGGUAAAGCCCUUUAGUUGGGAAAGAAAAGCAGCAGGUUAACACCCCGCUGUUCUGACGGUACCAAAAGAAUAAGCACCGGCUAACUUCGU